CAGCCGGACCGGACGGUCGCUCUCAUUUCGUCAAGGAAUGAGGGAGGAAAGUCCGAACUCCGCAGAGCAGUGUGCCGGAUAACGUCCGGGAAGCCCGGUUCAAGCCGGGUUGACGGAAAGUGCCACAGAAAAUAUACCGCCCGGCGGCAACGCCAGGGUAAGGGUGAAAAGGUGCGGUAAGAGCGCACCGCGGCUGCAGUAAUGCGGUUGGCAGGGCAAACCCCACACGGAGCAAGACCAAAUAGGGAGGGACUGUUGAAGCUUCGGCUUCGCAGGCGUGCCGGCUCGGCGCGCCAAACCUCCGGGUAGGUCGCUUGAGCCCCGCAGUAAUGCGCGGCCCAGAGGAAUGACCGUCCUGCCGGAUCACUUCGGCAGACAAAAUUCGGCUUACAGGUCCGGCUGUCUA
rnacentral:RNase_P_RNA from 1 species